rnacentral:rRNA from 1 species
AAGGGCACACGGUGGAUGCCUUGGCACCAGGAGCCGAUGAAGGACGUAGGAGGCUGCGAUAAGCCUCGGGGAGCUGUCAACCGAGCGUUGAUCCGAGGAUUUCCGAAUGGGGGAACCCCGCACCAGUCAUGUGGUGUGACCCGCGCCUGAAUAUAUAGGGCGUGUGGAGGGAACGUGGGGAAGUGAAACAUCUCAGUACCCACAGGAAGAGAAAACAACCGUGAUUCCGUGAGUAGUGGCGAGCGAAAGCGGAUGAGGCUAAACCAUGUGCAUGUGAUAGCCGGCAGGCGUUGUGCAUGUGGGGUCGUGGGACGUUCUUGUUGACACUGCCGUGUCGACGGAGAGUCAGAAAAGUGUGUCGUUAG